rnacentral:rRNA from 1 species
GGAGGAAAAGAAACCAACAGGGAUUGCCUUAGUAGCGGCGAGUGAAGCGGCAAAAGCUCAAAUUUGAAAUCUGGCUCUUUCAGAGUCCGAGUUGUAAUUUGAAGAAGGUAUCUUUGGGUCUGGCUCUUGUCUAUGUUUCUUGGAACAGAACGUCACAGAGGGUGAGAAUCCCGUGCGAUGAGAUGAUCCAGGCCUAUGUAAAGUUCCUUCGAAGAGUCGAGUUGUUUGGGAAUGCAGCUCUAAGUGGGUGGUAAAUUCCAUCUAAAGCUAAAUAUUGGCGAGAGACCGAUAGCGAACAAGUACAGUGAUGGAAAGAUGAAAAGAACUUUGAAAAGAGAGUGAAAAAGUACGUGAAAUUGUUGAAAGGGAAGGGCUUGAGAUCAGACUUGGUAUUUUGUAUGUUACUUCUUCGGGGGUGGCCUCUACAGUUUAUCGGGCCAGCAUCAGUUUGGGCGGUAGGAGAAUUGCGUUGGAAUGUGGCACGGCUUCGGUUGUGUGUUAUAGCCUUCGUCGAUACUGCCAGCCUAGACUGAGGACUGCGG